UACGGAGGGGGCGAGCGUUAAUCGGAAUUACUGGGCGUAAAGGGCGCGUAGGCGGCGGGUUACGUCUGCCGUGAAAUCCCCGGGCUCAACCUGGGAAUGGCGGUGGAAACGGGCUGGCUGGAGUAUGGGAGAGGGUGAUGGAAUUCCAGGUGUAGCGGUGAAAUGCGUAGAGAUCUGGAGGAACACCAGUGGCGAAGGCGGUCACCUGGCCCAAUACUGACGCUGAGGCGCGAAAGCGUGGGGAGCAAACAGG
rnacentral:rRNA from 1 species